UCAACAGCAAGAACGUUUAAAAUUUCACACCUAUCAUGUCGAAGCUACAGACCACUUAUGUGGAGGUCAGAUUUGUAGUAUCCUUCCAAUUUUCCAGGUGCUGAAAUACGUGACAUAUUUUUUGAAGGAAAGAAAACAUUGAUUAUGCUGAAAAAGUUUACUGGAGAGCUUGAACAAGAGGUAAAUCCAUUUUAAAUUAGUGGAAAACUGUUGAUUUGUAUGUAAAAUAGAAGACAAGCUAGCUAAUGAAACAGAUGCAGUGUUACAGAUAUGACAAACACCUAGAAGAUGGAAUCCUGCGUUCUUAAAUUAAAAAGCUAGUUCCAGAAGUAAGCUACCAAUAAUAAACUAGAGAAUGUAUUACAAGAAAGAACAACGCUAAUACUUAACAUAGCUCAAUUGCUUCAGGUAUAAAAAGAGGAGGAAAGGGUAGAACACAAGCGUGCCAGAGAAAAUGAAAGGGCAGAAGAGAGACACAAAAAUUCAUUGAUUUAUUAAAUUUAAUAAUUAAAUUAUACAAAGGACAAUUAAAUAAAGAAU